rnacentral:rRNA from 1 species
GGGAUAACAGUUAGAAAUGACUGCUAAUACCGCAUAAGCGCACAGGAUUGCAUGAUCUGGUGUGAAAAACUCCGGUGGUAUAAGAUGGACCCGCGUCUGAUUAGCUGGUUGGUGAGGUAACGGCCCACCAAGGCGACGAUCAGUAGCCGACCUGAGAGGGUGACCGGCCACAUUGGGACUGAGACACGGCCCAAACUCCUACGGGAGGCAGCAGUGGGGAAUAUUGCACAAUGGGGGAAACCCUGAUGCAGCGACGCCGCGUGAGCGAAGAAGUAUUUCGGUAUGUAAAGCUCUAUCAGCAGGGAAGAAAAAAAUGACGGUACCUGACUAAGAAGCCCCGGCUAACUACGUGCCAGCAGCCGCGGUAAUACGUAGGGGGCAAGCGUUAUCCGGAUUUACUGGGUGUAAAGGGAGCGCAGGCGGUGCGGCAAGUCUGAUGUGAAAGCCCGGGGCUCAACCCCGGGACUGCAUUGGAAACUGUCGUACUUGAGUAUCGGAGAGGUAAGUGGAAUUCCUAGUGUAGCGGUGAAAUGCGUAGAUAUUAGGAGGAACACCAGUGGCGAAGGCGGCUUACUGGACGAUAACUGACGCUGAGGCUCGAAAGCGUGGGGAGCAAACAGGAUUAGAUACCCUGGUAGUCCACGCCGUAAA